GACGAACGCUGGCGGCGUGCCUAAUACAUGCAAGUUGAGCGCUGAAGGUUGGUACUUGUACCAACUGGAUGAGCAGCGAACGGGUGAGUAACGCGUGGGGAAUCUGCCUUUGAGCGGGGGACAACAUUUGGAAACGAAUGCUAAUACCGCAUAAAAACUUUAAACACAAGUUUUAAGUUUGAAAGAUGCAAUUGCAUCACUCAAAGAUGAUCCCGCGUUGUAUUAGCUAGUUGGUGAGGUACAGGCUCACCAAGGCGAUGAUACAUAGCCGACCUGGGAGGGUGAGCGGCCACAUUGAGACUGAGACACGGCCCAAACUCAUUCGGGAGGCAGCAGUAGGCAAUCUUCAGCAAGAGACGAAAGUCUGACCGAGCUACGCCGAGUGAGUGAAGAAGGUUUUCGGAUCGUAAAUCUCGGUUGGUAGAGAAGAACGUUGGUGAGAGUGGAAAGCUCAUCAAGUGACGGUAACUACCCAGAAAGCGACGGCUAACUACGUG
rnacentral:rRNA from 1 species